UGCCAGCAGCCGCGGUAAUACGAAGGGUGCUAGCGUUGUUCGGAAUUACUGGGCGUAAAGAGCAUGUAGGCGGAUGAAUUAGUCAGAGGUGAAAGCCCCGAGCUCAACUUGGGAACUGCCUUUGAUACUGUUUAUCUAGAGUCCGGAAGAGGGUAGUGGAAUUCCCAGUGUAGAGGUGAAAUUCGUAGAUAUUGGGAAGAACAUCAGUGGCGAAGGCGGCUACCUGGUCCGGAUCUGACGCUGAGGCGCGAAAGCGUGGGUAGCGAACGGGAUUAGAUA
rnacentral:rRNA from 1 species